GUAUCUGAUUUGUAUUGUGAAUACCACUAAUUGUAUAUCAAGUGUUCAACCUCAAACAUAUUUAUUUGCAAUUCUAUUUGAAUAGAAGUCUCUUGCUUUUGUGCUUGAGUAUAGAAAGUCUCUUGAUUUAGUUCUUGAGCAUAGGAAAUCUCUUUCAGUCUUGAGUAGUUUGAAGUCUCUUGGUAGUUUUAGCAGUGAGCAAUUGUAAUCAAAUAUUACAUUUUUAGUGGACUCUCCUUGGAAGUGCAAGAGGAAUAUGACUACUUCCGGUUUGUGGAAGGAACCUCUAUAAUUGCUUUGUGUCUUUCUUCUCUCUCUCUCUCUCUCUCUCUCUCUCUCUCUCUCUCUAUCUUUUUAUCCGCUGCAUUUAGAAUCUGAACAUCACUUCAAAAGCUGAAUUCUAUCUGCUUCUGAUCAGUGACUUCAGUAGGAAAAAACUAACACAAUUCAACCCCUCCACUACUCUCUUUGUGUCUACAUCAGGACAAGAAUAACAGCUAUGCCUGCAACGAUGUUCCUCCAUACUUGGAAUGGAUUUGAAAUUGAUCCUUCAUAGUAUAAUAACCAAAUCGGGAAAAAGAUCAUUGGUGAUUUGAUCAAGCUUCAAACGACUCUUUUUGAUGUGUUGGGAAUUCACAACGUCUCUUUCACACCUCUAUAUAAAGGAGUGAAGACUUAGAGAAUGACAAGACUCAUACAACAAUUUACAAGUGUCAAAACUCUGUCAAAAUUGUUCUGCAUCAAAAGUUCACUUAGAAUUUCUUAACAACUUUCAUAUCUUAGAAAUUCUAUAGUCUUAAGAGUCUGUAUCUGAUUUGUAUUGUGAAUACCACUAAUUGUAUAUCAAGUGUUCAACCUCAAACAUAUUUAUUUGCAAUUCUAUUUGAAUAGAAGUCUCUUGCUUUUGUGCUUGAGUAUAGAAAGUCUCUUGAUUUAGUUCUUGAGCAUAGGAAAUCUCUUGCAGUCUUGAGUAGUUUGAAGUCUCUUGGUAGUUUUAGCAGUGAGCAAUUGUAAUCAAAUAUUACAUUUUUAGUGGACUCUCCUUGGAAGUGCAAGAGGAAUAUGACUACUUCCGGUUUGUGGAAGGAACCUCUAUAAUUGCUUUGUGUCUUUCUUCUCUCUCUCUCUCUCUCUCUCUCUCUCUCUCUCUCUCUAUCUAUCUAUCUUUUUAUCCGCUGCAUUUAGAAUCUGAACAUCACUUCAAAAGCUGAAUUCUAUCUGCUUCUGAUCAGUGACUUCAGUAGGAAAAAACUAACACAAUUCAACCCCCCCCCCCCCCCCCUCCGGGUGUGUUUUUCUCACCUUCAUAAUAAACAAACAAAAAUAUCUUCAAAUCUUUAUUAAGAUCUCAAAAAAAAUCUCUAGAUUCUCUGCAUAUAAAAUCUGCUGUUUUUUUAAAAGUUAAAGCAAACACAUCCUAAAUCUAAAAUAACUGUUGCACAUGGGAAUCAUUUUUUCAAGACAGCGCUCUGCCCCAGCAAAGCGUUCUCUCCAAACAAAAGAUGAUCAACUUUUUUGAAAUCAUACGUGAAAUAUAGAAUUAUAAUGAAGAAUUCAUCUAUAUGAUCGUAAAGUGUCUUUAUUUAUUAUAGUAGGUAAUUAUGAUUACACUAUUGUUUUCCAUUUCUUCUAUGAGUUCAUGAUGACAACAUAGUUGCAUAAUAUAACAAUACAUAUGUUUUUUUCAUUGAAAUUGACAACUUAAUCUAUAUCGUACUCAGAAGUGCAUUGACAAGUUAAAUUAAUGCACUUCAGAGUUAGAUCAGUUGGACACAUAUCUGGUGGACAUUCAGGGGUAAAUAGGCAUGGAGGAGCAUCUGGGAGGCCUAACAAGAACAAAAUAAAUGUUAAUAUAGAUGAUGGAAUAUUAUAUAUAAGUUAAAUUAUAAUUUUGAAAAUGAUUUAAAACAUUACUCACUUCCAUUGAUUGCGAUCAUAAAUAGGGAAACAAAGAUGAGUAAAGUAUAAAAGAAAUAAAGGAUUCGAGCCAUAAUUUUUGCGCUUUUGCAUGUAAUAAAUGAAAAAUAUUUUGAUCUUUAUAAACAAAAUGUAAUGCUUUGUAAACUUCAAUGAAAUAGUUUUUAACCCCUAGGAGGUGCAAGAAGCCAUUCAAAAAAUUGAAAUAAUUGGUAAAUGUUUCUAUAUUACAUCAAUCUGUCUUGUUUAUCUCUUUACAAGUUCAACUGAUCACUUAGUUUUAGUAAAAUAUUAUUUAAAAAUUUUAAUAAUCAUCAAAGAUCAUUCAUAUUUUUUUUAUUAAACUUCUAAUUUAUUUUUUAUUUCUCUUUUACCUUUUUAUGGUAAAGAAGAGACACAUAAAAAUAUUUGGGUAGAAAUUUAAACAUUAUUGACGAAUGAUGAAAAACUCUUUGGGUAGAAAUCAUUCACCGAUCAGGUGACAAUACUUACUUAUUCCUGAGAAACUAAAAUAACCAUAUUAUAAUGUUAUUUUAUUGACAAUUUUCCAUACUUGUAACACAUGUUAGAAAUAAGACCACACUCGAUUGGUACGUUAGUUAGAAAUAUAUUCUAUGUUAAGGGAUAUUGUAUAUUAUAUUUUUGGGGCCGGAGUUUAAACCCAUACAUUUUAUUUUUUCACAAUUAAAUUGUGUGAGCUCUAACCAUUAAGUUAUUUAAUAAAAAAAGACUACUUGACAAAAAAAAAUUAUAAACAGGAUUUUAUCAGCCAAUUUUGCUAAUAAAAAAUUGGCUCGCUCUAAGGAAAUUCACAAUUAUCAAAGCGGCUAAUGAUUAAACUAGGUGAGAUUGAUGGAACCCAUGCGUCGUUUUCAUGUUAAAAAGUAUCUUUAGGGUAUCAUUUAAGCAUCCAAAAGUAGUAGUUUUUAUAUUGGAAAUUAUGUAGCAUGACUUUUAUGUUUAUUUGAUUUAUUUUUAAGACAAAUUUUUUUUGUAGAUUCCUUAAGCAAUACCCUCAAAAUAUUUGUUAGCGAGACCUUUCAAAUUGAAGUAAAAAUAACAGUGACAAAAGAGGGUUAUAAUUGUGACUAUUUAAAAAUUGGAUCUUUCACUUUGUAAAAAAAAUUUCUCAAUUUAAAACAAUACACUUAACUGUAUGUGUAGUUUGAUUUGCAUGUACCGAGAGUAAAGAGUAUAGUUGCAGAGUUAACACACAAGAACUAUCAUGGUUAUUUAGUUGAAGAGUAUAGUCCUCACAACCGUGAGAUUUCACUAUUGUAUUUAGAUAACCUUUUCCAAUCUUCCCUCACACCUUAUAUCACUCUUUUUCUUACACCUUAGUUUAUCAUAGCCUUUUCAGACUACUAACACUACUAUCACUUAAUCCUUUUUUACAACCUAAAUAAGAUUAAAGGCGUUUUAAAAAAAAAAAAAAACUGAUAGGAGUUUGACUAUGAUCUCAAUUAGUGUAUUUUGUGUAUGAUUCUAAAUUACACUUUGAAUGAUGUUAAAACAUCUAUACUAUACGAGCGAAAAGAUAGAAACUUCCAAAUAAUUGGAUCUCUCUCCAAUCUUCUCUUCUUGCAUCCUAAAGUUCUUCUCUUCUAGCUCAUCUCUUCUCUCAGAUAUUCCUUAUUAGUUGUAAACCUAAUUCUCCAAAGACUACAAUCUAUUUAUAUUUUCUUGUUUGGCCUUGGUUCUCUCACAUCAUUUAAUGGACUAAGUUUCUAUCAUAUUUAUUUUCGACAAAUAAAACUUUACUCGGUAAUUCGACUUAAACCUCCUAUUUACCCAUACACCUCUAUUCUCUAAAUUUCUAGUAAUUAACUAACCCAUAAAUUCAACCACGUUAAAUAAAAGUAAUAAACACAUAAAUUUCUAAAUACUACUAAUAUUACUAAUAUCACAUAAAAAUUAUAACAUUAAUAAACUAGUAAUAAAAAUUGGGAUGUUACACAUUUAGAGCAAUAAUUUCCUUGUGCUCAAAACUUUUUAGGGCUGGCCUUUUGCAGUGAGAUUCAACAUUAAGAUUCGCCAAUUGCACAUGCUUAAGAAUAGGGAUCGAAUCCCCGUUAGUAUUUUCCCCAAUCAUCUCAUCUGUUGCAUUAACCAAAGGCAUAUGCAAUGAAGUUCUUACCACGGUGAGGUCAACUUGCUUUGCGACUUCACUCCCUUUCUACACGGUUUCAUCCACAUUAAUCAAUCGAUGCUCAAUGUGAUCAACUGGUUUCAACGUGUUGGUUGUGUCCAAGUUGACCCUUUUCUUUAGUACAUAUUGCUAUAAAAGUUUCUUUGAUGCUGGUAAUCUUUAUCCAAAGGUUUCUUUCUGAGAACAAUUGUCUUAUGGGGAUGGAUCCAUUUAAAAGUUGAAACGGAAUGACCUAUGAUAAAUCGUAUCCAUAUCCAUUAAAAUUCUUGCAUAGUGAUCGAAAAGUUUGUUAUGUGUUGGAUCGUCUAGAUUUAAUGGUGUUGCAAUGACACUGGCAAUUUUAAAGUGUGUCUGAUCAUGCCAAUAUUCCUGUGGCAAAUCAAUUAAAUGGAUCCAAACUUAUGCAUGAGUUUGACGUUGAGUAAUAUGAUUAAAGUCCUUCUGCCAUUCAGAUAUUUGAAGGACAGCCAAACAUAAAUCUCUGUAGUUUGAAAACUUGAAAUUACAAAACCCACGUUUGAGAUAAAUUAUUUUUCACCUGUAGUAUUCCACAACUUGGAAAGCUUAAGCUUCAGUCAUUCGCACAGGGGCGGAUCUAGAUAUGAUGGUUUGAUGUGGCAAAAUUAUAAAAGAAUUUUUUUAGUGUACAUUUGAUUUAUAAUAUAAUAGCAAAGUAGCUAAAGCAAGUUUGUUACAUAUCUAUGUCUCAGGUUCAAAUCUCAUCCACCACACUUUUGAUGAUUUUCUCCUUAAAAUAUUAAAAAAAAGUUUAAAUAGAUCACACAUUAAUUUGUGAAACAUUGUCAAAUUAUGUGAUAUAUAUUAUGUUUUCGGUCUACUAUAUUAACUAAAAAAAUUUGGCUGUAAUCUGGUGUGGCAGCUGCCACACCAUGCCUAACACUAGAUCCGCCCAUGUUCGCGCUAUACAUCUUAUCUCCUUUGUUUAGAACCAAUCGACCAUGAAUUCUCAUAUGCAUAAUGGGUAAUCUUGAUACAUAAAGAAUCUAAAGUAUUAAUCUGAUUUUGAGAAUCCAUAUUGCUCAGCCAAUUGAAAAAUUGAUACACACGAAAAGCAAAACGAAAUUGUUCACCCAAAACGAUCAAAGAAAGAUCACGUAACCAAGUAACAAACAUCAAUCAUUAUUGUAACAAAACAAUGGAUUCCCCAAUUUCAGUAGACUAAAGCCUGUUUGUUUCAGAUAUUUUUUUCUAAAAAAAACACUUUUGUUAUUUUUAAGUGUUUGUUUAAGAUUUUAAAAAAAUAAUCUAUUUUGACUCUAAAAUGAAAGGCUAUUAGGAUUAAUUUUUCACAAAUAUUUUUUCUUCAAAAACAAAGAGGUAACAUGUGCAAGUAAAAUGAAGAAUUCAUCUGCAUAGUCAUAUAGUGUCUUUAUUUAUUAUAGUAGGUAAUUAUGAUUAAACCAUAAUAUUAUUGUUAUGCAUUUCUUCUGAGUUCAUGAUGGCAAUAUAGUUGCAUAAUAUAACAAUACAUAUGAUCUUUUCAUUGAAAUUGACAACUUAAUCUAAAUCGUACUCAGCAGUGCAUUGACAAGUUAAAUUAAUGCACUUCGCAAAUAGAUCAGUUGGACACAGAUCUGGUGGACAUUCAUUGCUAAAAAGGCAUGGAAGAACAUCAGGGAUGCCUAAUAAGAAUAAAAUAAAUGUUAGUACAUAUGAUGUAAUAUUAUAUAAAAAUUAAAGGGCUAAAUAAAUUUUUACAUGCAUGUUGUUGUUUGAAGAAGUUAAAACGAAUUUAGAUUAAUCAAAAGAUCAACACUUCCAGCACGAGGUGUGUGCUUGGAAGAAAUGGUUAAAUCAAAAGAUAACAAGGUCAACUUAAGAACAUUAUAAGAAACUUCAAAAAUGUUGAACGAACUUUAUUUUUAGUCCUCAUAAAAAAAAUUGACAUAUUUUUAACACAUAAUAAACUAAAUAUUAAUUUUUCUAAACAUCAAAUUUUGACCUAGAAUUCAAAUUUUGAACUAAUAUUUCUCAGAGGAACUUUGUAUUAUUAUGUUCUAAAUAAAUAUGUCAAGAAUUAUUUAAAUGUUUAAAAAUUUAAGUAUAAUUAAUCAAAUUUUAAUUUUACAAGGACUAAAAUUUUAUGUUCUAAAUUUUUUUAUUAAGACCAAAACAUGUC
rnacentral:lncRNA from 1 species